ensembl:misc_RNA Metazoa_SRP Metazoan signal recognition particle RNA
GCUGGGUAUGGUGGCGCAUGCCUGUAGUCCCAGCUCCUUGAGAGGCUGAGGUGGGAGCAUUGCUUGAGCUCAGGAGGUUGAGGCUGCAGUGAGCUAUGGUUGCACCACUGCAUUCUAGCCUGGGUGACAGAGCAAGAACCAGUCUCAA